CUUACUUAUAGUUCACUGUGCAAAAUGUGUUUUCUUUCACAUAAUGAUGAAACUAAUAUGAAGAUAUAAUUGUAAUUCACAGCAUUUAUGUUUGUAAGAAAUCAUGUUUAAAAGUUAACCCUUGUCAAUUAGUUGUAAAGGCUUUUGUUUUUCCGUUAAUAUAUUUAUGUAUAUAAAUUUUUAGAAGUUGAAAUUCGGUAUAUUUAAAUUUAUAAAAAAAAA
rnacentral:lncRNA from 1 species